GCGGCCGCCUGCGCGCACCCACCCGGAUUCACUAGGGCCGUAACCACUUCCGUUCCUGCGACAGGCCUGGAGGACGUAAUCCCAGCUGGCGUGUGGGAACGGGCAACGCCAUUUUGUACGGAAGCUACUGGGGCAGGUGAUGCCUACCCAGUCUCUCUCCUCUGUUGAACAAAGGAUCUGUUAAAAUUGGAAGGGCUUAACGUCUUCUUCAGAAAAGUGACGCAUUUGUUACUGGGAUGAUACUGUCUCCCUACAUUGCCUAGGCUGGUCUCGAACUCCUGGGCUCAAGCGAACCUCACAACUCGGCCUCCCAAAGUGCUGGGAUUACAGGCGUGAAUGCCCAACCUAUGCCAUCUUUUAUAGCGAUAACCACAAUACUUUUUGUUUAUAUAUUAAAUCGUUCAUCCAAUCAGUCUUUAUUAGCAAUUAUAUGUGAGGCAGUUAAUCUGUGCUACAUGCAUGCUUUUCCUUUCUCAUGGAAUGUGUAAAACAGAAGGAGAAAUGAGAUGUGCAUAAAUAACCAAUAUAAGGUAUAAUAAUAGCUACCAUUUGUUGACUUUGUGCUCACCUGUUGCUAGGAACUUUGCAAAGCAUUUUACUUAUUUUUUCUCCUUUAAUCCCCAUAACAACCCUGUGAGGCAGUACUAUUAUUAGUGCCGUUUUACAUAAAAUAGAAAAAGGUUAAAUAACUUCCUCAAGGUAAUUCAGCAAGUAAGCACCGGAGUUAGGAAUCAAACCUCAUAUUUCUGAUUGCAGAGCAUGUGGCCCCAUCCUUUAUACUAUAUUGCCUUCAAUACAGGGGCAAAUGUUUUAAAUUCCAUUGAAUGAGUACCCAUGGGGGAAAUUUCCAGCUAUUAUAGAGGAUUAACUCCCUGAAUUUUUAUCUGCUCCAUCUUGAAACACUUAAAAAA
rnacentral:lncRNA from 10 species